rnacentral:hammerhead_ribozyme from 1 species
GCACUUCUGACGAGUCCCGAACAGGACGAAACAGCUGUCCAAUGC